AAAGCUUCCACCUUCAGUCUUCAGUCAGUUUUCCCACCGGUCGUAUGUGCCGCGUACCGCGUUUCGCAAGGCCACCCAUUCGCCUAUCGGUCAAUCUCUGUCAUCUCUGUUUUGUCCUCUGCAACCCAACCCCAACACUAGCAGCGUCAUCAACCAUUCUGGUCCCUUCCCACUUUGUGUCCCUCAUCACGCAGAAUUGACCGCGUUGCCGGUAUAGUAAGAUAAUCCAACGUAGAAGUGCAUUGUGCGCGUUUAGUGUGUUAUUCCCAGUGUGUGUGUGUGCGUAUGUGUGUAGGUGCAUUGCUUAUACUGUCUAUUCAACUAACUUAACCCUUUUCUGUGUGUCUGUGUCGUGAACGUCAACGCUCUAGUGUCUAUUUCCAUCCACGUGUGUGCGUGUAUGAGCGUGCUUUUGUGUGUGUAUGGUAGCUAAUCUAUGGAUAAUUGGUGUCUAUGUGCGAAACCCGAAGUAAGCUGUUAUCAACUAGGCUUGGAACCGGCUGGCUUACAGUGAUACACUGUGUUUCUAUGAGUGUGUGUGGCGUAAAGUGUAACAAGCGCAUAGCGUUACUGAAGCUUCAUGCGAGAUACUACUAGGCAGCUUUAGUAGCAGUGUGAACAUACGCAGCAGUACUAAGGAUUAACCAAGUGAAGCACCGAAGGAAGGAAGGCCAAACAAAGCGGGCUCAACCUUCAGACAGUUUUCUACAGUCGGUGCAAAAACGUGCCGUACAUCACGUGGAGGGAAAGUUUCGCAAAGCAGUUGCUUCUUUCCGCACGACAUUCCGCAGCCCCAUCAGCACAAGUGCUAGGACGUGAAACAAUCGACACAUACGUACGCAGCCUGAAGUGUUGAAGCAAACUAAAGCGCGCAAGUGUGACGUGGCGUUGCCAAAAAGCUGCUAAUAAAUCAAUGUAAGAAAUCACAAAAAAAGAAACGAAAAUACGUGGCGAAACGUAGUGUGAAAAGGUGAGCAGCUUUUCGACCGAUUCUCGUAAAGUGAGUGUCAUAAUUGAUAAAUAUUAAACGAAAUAUCGCCAUAAAGUGUCACAGCUUUGCAAAGAGUAAAAGAGGGGGUUAGUGCAAACAGUGUCCAGAAUAAUAAAAAAUGGUUUAAAAUCUAGCUAAUUGUUCAAAAAUCCUAAGCAAUUAAGCAACCAAAUAUUGUCACCAUGUGUCACAGUGUAGUGCGCCAGUCAGCUGGCUGUUCGAUUCCAGCGCAACCUCAAUCGGGCGCUUAUCAAUGAGGCGUUAAGCGAAAUCUUUCCCUUUUACACGGCACACAACGCCGCCUGACGCGUCCAAGCA